rnacentral:rRNA from 1 species
CCCUGCCUCUCCGGAGGUUCGGGGCGCCCGCCGGAGGUACGAAACUCUGUAUUAUAGUGGCAUCUCUGAGUAUAAAACAAAUAAGUUAAAACUUUCAACAACGGAUCUCUUGGUUCUGGCAUCGAUGAAGAACGCAGCGAAAUGCGAUAAGUAAUGUGAAUUGCAGAAUUCAGUGAAUCAUCGAAUCUUUGAACGCACAUUGCGCCCGGUAGUACUCUACCGGGCAUGCCUGUUCGAGCGUCAUUUCAACCCUCAAGCCCUGCUUGGUGUUGGGGCCCUACGGCUGCCGUAGGCCCUGAAAGGAAGUGGCGGGCUCGCUACAACUCCGAGCGUAGUAAUUCAUUAUCUCGCUAGGGAGGUUGCGGCGUGCUCCUGCCGUUAAAGACCCAUCUUUAACCAAGGUUGACCUCGGAUCAGGUAGGAAUACCCGCUGAACUUAAGCAUAUCAAUAAGCGGAGGAAAAGAAACCAACAGGGAUUGCCCUAGUAACGGCGAGUGAAGCGGCAACAGCUCAAAUUUGAAAUCUGGCUUCGGCCCGAGUUGUAAUUUGUAGAGGAUGCUUUUGGUGAGGUGCCUUCUGAGUUCCCUGGAACGGGACGCCAGAGAGGGUGAGAGCCCCGUAUAGUCGGCCACCGAUCCUUUGUAAAGCUCCUUCGACGAGUCGAGUAGUUUGGGAAUGCUGCUCAAAAUGGGAGGUAUAUCUCUUCUAAAGCUAAAUAUAGGCCAGAGACCGAUAGCGCACAAGUAGAGUGAUCGAAAGAUGAAAAGCACUUUGAAAAGAGGGUUAAAUAGCACGUGAAAUUGUUGAAAGGGAAGCGCUUGUGACCAGACUUGUGCCGGGCUGAUCAUCCAGUGUUCUCACUGGUGCACUCGACCCGGCUCAGGCCAGCGUCGGUUUUCGUGGGGGGAUAAAAGCUUCGGGAA